CUUGCACAAAAUAAUUAUUUUUAGAGGACAAAUCUCAAUGCUUGUCCUUGGCCUUGCAUUACCCCAAAAACCGGUGAACUUGCUCUAAGAAAAAUGCCAAGCAAGUUCCAGAAAACCCACAAAGCUGCCAUUCUACUCUGAACUGCCCGAGACCUCAACAGAGCAAAAAUCAGAGAGCCGCUGAGAGUCAAUUUCUUCGCCUUCGGCAUGUCAAAACCCAACCACCAGAAUAAUCUAGAAAUCAAGCGGCACGAGGAUAAUAUUAAGUUCCUUCAGAAUGAGAUAAACUGCUUAGGUGAAUCUAUACUGGAAUUGCAAGUGAGUCUUGCAAAGCAUCAGUCGGCCAAUGGUACUGUAACAACAAAUGAAAACGGUCCUACUGCUGAGGAGGAAGACCAAAUAUUGCGGCACGAAAAAUCCGCGGCUGGCUUAUUGUGCAGGCUGAAACUGUUAAAAUCGCAGCAUGCGAGUCAGGCAUUGAAUUUGGCUCUGACAAAGGAUGUGCUGGGUAUUGUUGGCAUUGUUGCCACACUUGGCAGAGUCGAGGAUGACAACCUUAGCAGGCUUCUGUCGGAGUACUUGGGACUGGAAACUAUGCUAGCAAUUGUAUGCAGGACAAGUGAAGCCGUUAUGGUUCUAGAGAAGUAUGAUGGGGAUGGGACAGUACUCACCAGCGCUGGCAUACAUGGUCUAGGAGUUUCUAUUGGGAAGAGCAUAAAAGGGCGGUUUCUGGUCAUAUGUCUAGAUGAUUUGAGUCCAUAUGUUGGGGGAUUUGUAGCUGAUGAUCCACAAAGGAAGCUUGCUCUUCCCAAACCACAGCUACCAAAUGGGGAGUGUCCGCGCGGCUUUCUUGAUUAUGCAGUGAACACGAUCAAUUUGGACGGCAAUAACUUAGUUAAUGUUACCAGCAGUGGGCAUGGUCUCAGAGAGACACUAUUCUAUAGUCUCUUUUCUCGCCUCCAAAUAUACAGAACCAGAGCAGAGAUGCUUCUCGCUCUCCCAUGCAUAAAUCAUGGAGCACUGUCUUUAGAUGGCGGGAUUAUUAAAAAGAGUGGCGUGUUCAUCCUGGGAAGCAGCAAAGAUACAGAGAUCAAAUUUCUUGCAAAAUCCGGAGAAUCUAGUAUGACUGCAAACUACGACGAAACUGAGGAUAUGAUCAAGAAGCUGAAGUUCAAGCGAAAGCAUGUUGCUGAGGAUAUGCAAAGAGAACAAGAAUUGUUGGACUUCGCAAAGGCAAACCUGGCACAAGUGUGAUUCCAAGAAUUUUCCUUUCCGCUGGUACUGCCCCAAGGAUGUCUUGCAAACUAUGCAUGCAGGCCUAGAUGGCAGGCAUCGGCAGAUUGGUCGGUUUUUAGGCCACGACGGAGGCAUCCGCAGAUCGGUUGGAUUGUUUUGUUUUCAAUUGCUGCCUCUUGUGCCUUCUUUGUACCACAUUGGAAAAGCAGCAAAGUGUGGAUUUUCUCCGUCCGUUGCUUAUCGGUUGGCUUGAACCUGUACUGUGUUCAUCCUCAAUCAUGUUUGGUUUGUAAUCGUAUUGUAACCUUAGAAAUUAUGGAUUCUUUUUCCAUUACCAUGAAGAAUAAAAACAUACACUGGCAUCGGUAUUUUUCGCCUCAAACUCU